ensembl:lncRNA
GUUUUCUAUUGUAGUCUGGGUGACCCGCAUCUGUUUCCUGCUUAAACUAUAUGUAUUGCAGAGUUCACUGUCGGGUUGCAUGACAAUGGAGCAAUACAUCGAAUCUUGUGACAUGGGAAAGUACAGCAAAUUCUGUGAAAUAUAUAAACACUUUACAAUAUGCUUGAAUAUUAAAAGAUAAUAAAACAAAGAAUAAAACACAUAAAAACAUAGAAUCUCAUAACAUUCCCUCCUGUUGUUAAUAUAUUUCACUCAUACUUCAUAGGCUUCAGUAGACAAUCACUUGUUUGCACAUUUUCAAUUGCUACGUCAUGUUAAGUGCAAGAAAUUCUUAAACACAGUCUUCUUCUUCUUCAGUUGCUAUCGGGCUAUAAGCUUGUGCCAGGAAGAUUCGGUUGCAGUGUCUUAUUUGGAUAAACAAAAGAUACACCCUGCUUUUCUGGGACUCUAAGUCUCCAUAGGCAGACCAUGGUCAUGUUAUGGGCUAGUUCGGGCGGUGUGACCGGAAGUGUUGUUAAGUUCUUUAUUGGUUCUUUUGGAGCACAUGCACGCAGACUUGUAUUCAUUACUGUUUCUAGAGUUUGUAGUAGGUUUACAAAGAAUGCCAUUUCAGUUUUGUUAUGGGGUACAUAAUUAUGCAUUAGUUGGCAUUCCUCUGACCAGCAUCGUCGUCGAGUCCUGUUGGGGACUGGGUCCUCUCCAUCUGAAAUGUCUGAAUGUUCAUUUUGCACAUCUGUGUCGGGCAUUGUUUAUAAGUGUCUGAGUAGUUACUUGAGUGAUGGGUUGCUCUUCUGGUUUUGCAGGUCGGACUGAUCUCCUGUUACUCUACCGGGCAGGUGGGGCAAGAUCACUAGAUGACAGGUGAACUGGCGUCUGGGCUUGUGUCCCCUUGUACUUUUUUGGUGUGGCUCUGGUGGAUCCACGAAGGUCUUUCAGCGGUCUUGCACGCUGUUGGCGUCGUUAGCAGGACCUGAAAAGGGCCCUCCCACCUCGGAGAGCUCCAGUUUUUCCUCUGGAGUACCUUGAUCAGGAUCCAGUCGCCUGGUUUCAACCUGGAAGAGACUGGAGAAGAAUCAUUCGGCAGUUGGUUGCUCAGAACUAUUUCUUUGUUCUCUAGCAGUUUUGUCAUCCAUUCUGCUAGGGUUGUUUCUCUGACUGACUUGUCUAUUGGUUCACUGGUGAUGAGCAGAGGAAAAGGUCUACCAUGUACAAUUUCAAAUGGUGUCAGUUUCUGCGAGCAUUGGGUUAAUCUCAUCCACAUUUUUACUAGGCCUAUACACUCUGGCCACGGUCUUCCUGUUUCUUCCAUGCAUUUUCUAAGUCUCUGUGCCGUUAGUUCUUUCCGCUAGGCCGGCACUUUGAGGAUGGUAAGCACAGUGAUAUUUGAUGUUGAACCCUAGUGCUUCAGAGACUUUGCUGAUUACCUCAUUGACAAAGUGUGUCCCAUUAUCUGAUCUUAUCAGAGUGGGGAUGCUAUAUGUUGGAAUAAAAUGGUUACAUAAGCAUUUUGCUGAAGUUUCGAAAUUUAGAGUGUGUUUUGGAGAUUAUAUCUCUUAUCCCUCCUGUUGACGCAUGGAGGGUAACUCCAUGUGUCACUAAGGCUGCUGUUUUGUGUAGAGAUUUUGGAAGUAUUGGUUUUCCUUCACAAAUCAUCAAGUCGUCUUUUAGUUGCGCUCCGCAUUUCAGCCAUUUCUUUUGCUCAGCUGUGGGAGCUGCUUUUUGUUCAUCCUUUGUCAGUAAAAUUGUUUCCCUUUGUAAUUUCAUAGUCAUUCUUCUGAUGUGCUGCACACUUGCAAAUUGCUAAAUGUCGCAUCACAUGAGGAGUUUCCUCCGAUGUAAACAG